GUUUGACGCCGUUGAUUUUUUUAUAUAAGUUUGAUUAUUCGUCUUAUUCAAAAAUUUACAUAAUUAUUAAUUAUUUUUAUAUCAUUUUAUUUAUUGUUAAAUAUAUUUUUAUGCAUAUAUAUAGUUUUAUAUAUUUUACAAAAAAAUGAAUAAAAUGAAUGGUUAAACAUGUGUCAAAAAGUCAACGACGUCAAAUAUUUAGGGACACAGGUAGUAUUACACAAUGAUCAGAGUUUACAUUCAUGUAUUGGAUCAUCCCCCCUAACCCUCCACCCCUCCCAAGUUCCUCAGCACCCGUAACAAAAAGGGAAGAAAGAAGCCCCCUUGCAUACGGUGACAAUCUCAUGCAGA
rnacentral:lncRNA from 1 species